AUACGUAGGGAGCAAGCGUUGUCCGGAAUUACUGGGCGUAAAGGGCGCGUAGGCGGGUAUUUAAGUCAGGUGUGAAAACUCCGAGCUCAACUUGGAGAUUGCACUUGAAACUGGGUAUCUUGAGGGCAGGAGAGGAAAGUGGAAUUCCUAGUGUAGCGGUGAAAUGCGUAGAUAUUAGGAGGAACACCAGUGGCGAAGGCGACUUUCUGGACUGUACCUGACGCUGAGGCGCGAAAGCGUGGGUAGCGAACGGGAUUAGAUACCCCGGUAGUCCACGCUGUAAACGAUGAAUACUAGGUGUAGGAGGUAUCGACCCCUUCUGUGCCGCAGUUAACACAAUAAGUAUUCCGCCUGGGGAGUACGAUCGCAAGAUUGAAACUCAAAUGAAUUGACGGGG
rnacentral:rRNA from 1 species